rnacentral:rRNA from 1 species
CACAUGCAAGUCGAGGGGCAGCAUUUUAGUUUGCUUGCAAACUGAAGAUGGCGACCGGCGCACGGGUGAGUAACACGUAUCCAACCUGCCGAUAACUCCGGAAUAGCCUUUCGAAAGAAAGAUUAAUACCGGAUAGUAUACGAAUAUCGCAUGAUAUUUUUAUUAAAGAAUUUCGGUCAUCGAUGGGGAUGCGUUCCAUUAGUUUGUUGGCGGGGUAACGGCCCACCAAGACUACGAUGGAUAGGGGUUCUGAGAGGAAGGUCCCCCACAUUGGAACUGAGACACGGUCCAAACUCCUACGGGAGGCAGCAGUGAGGAAUAUUGGUCAAUGGGCGAGAGCCUGAACCAGCCAAGUAGCGUGAAGGAUGAAGGCUCUAUGGGUCGUAAACUUCUUUUAUAUGGGAAUAAAGUUUUCCACGUGUGGAAUUUUGUAUGUACCAUAUGAAUAAGGAUCGGCUAACUCCGUGCCAGCAGCCGCGGUAAUACGGAGGAUCCGAGCGUUAUCCGGAUUUAUUGGGUUUAAAGGGAGCGUAGGUGGAUUGUUAAGUCAGUUGUGAAAGUUUGCGGCUCAACCGUAAAAUUGCAGUUGAAACUGGGAGUCUUGAGUACAGUAGAGGUGGGCGGAAUUCGUGGUGUAGCGGUGAAAUGCUUAGAUAUCACGAAGAACUCCGAUUGCGAAGGCAGCUCACUAGACUGUCAC